UACGGAGGAUGCGAGCGUUAUCCGGAUUUAUUGGGUUUAAAGGGUGCGUAGGCGGGCUUUUAAGUCAGCGGUAAAAAUUCGGGGCUCAACCCCGUCCGGCCGUUGAAACUGGGGGUCUUGAGUGGGCGAGAAGAAGGCGGAAUGCGUGGUGUAGAGGUGAAAUGCAUAGAUAUCACGCAGAACCCCGAUUGCGAAGGCAGCCUUCCGGCGCCCUACUGACGCUGAGGCACGAAAGUGCGGGGAUCGAACAGG
rnacentral:rRNA from 1 species